GCAAACUUGGUCAUUUAGAGGAAGUAAAAGUCGUAACAAGGUUUCCGUAGGUGAACCUGCGGAAGGAUCAUUACCGAGAAAAAAAUGGGGUUGACGCUGGCCUUUCGAGGCAAACGUGCUCGCCCCGAUCACGCUCAAUCACACCCGUGCACUCUGAGGCCGUCCGUCGUCGCGCUCGUGCGACGGCAGCCUACAUAUAACACAAACACCUUUGUCGUCUUUGGAACGUCGCGUCGUAUAUUAUAUCUUAACAACUUUCGACGACGGAUCUCUUGGCUCUCGCAUCGAUGAAGAACGCAGC
rnacentral:misc_RNA from 1 species